GAAAUGCGAUAAGUAAUGUGAAUUGCAGAAUUCAGUGAAUCAUCGAAUCUUUGUACGCACAUUGCGCCCGCCAGUAUUCUGGCGGGCAUGCCUGUUCGAGCGUCAUUUCAACCAUCAAGCCCCCGGGCUUGUGUUGGGGACCUGCGGCUGCCGCAGGCCCCGAAAACCAGUGGCGGGCUCGCUGUCACACCGGGCGUAGUAGAUUUUUCGUCUCGCCCAGGGCGUGCUGCGGGUUCCGGCCGUUAAAAAGCCUCUCUUUUAACCCAAGGUUGACCUCGGAUCAGGUAGGAAGACCCGCUGAACUUAAGC
rnacentral:misc_RNA from 1 species